AACACCCGCGUGUGAAAAUAUUAUAUAAAAUGGCCAAAUGGACAGAUAAUCCAGCCAAACCUAAUAUUUUGCUGCAAUAUGCAUAGGAAGAUAAUAAUAUGCAAGAAAAACACAUUUUAAUCAGAAUAAAUUUCUCCUUUAGGUUACAAUAUACUAAAAUAUUUUGGAGUGCAAUGCUAUACUCUCUAAAAACAUGAACAUCAUUUAUAAGAAGACACAAUUCUCUGUAGGGGCACUUGCCAUGGCUUUAUUUUAGAAUGUUUCUUUGUGCAUGUGGUAGGGAAAACAUUGAUGUUUAACAGAAAUGCACUCUUUUGCUUGAAGGUUGGAGACUACAUGAGACUUUGACAGAUGGCGGGAAACCCUUCUCAACUGGUACGAAGCCGGCAAAUAGAUGGCCAUAAAACAGUGACCGCUGAUUCGCGUCGAGUUCUUUCUUGCAUAACGUUGGAGACUACAUGAGACUUUGACAGAUGGCGGGAAACCCUUCUCAACUGGUAGAGAAAUGUCUGGGACUUAGCCGAGGGCAACUGGAGAAGGGUUGUUGAUGGCAAAACAGGCAAUAAUACUAAAUUAUUAUCAUGUACACAAGCAAAUAAGCAUAGUUAUGAUGUUUAAGGUGUGAAAUACUGUCAUAAUAUGGUUUGUGGUCACUCAAAUCCUUGCCGUCGUGCAAUUCCCCGUGCAGUUUGUAUUGAUAGCUCCGCGUCCUGACACGUAAAGCUCGUGCUUUGUUGGCAGCAGAAGUUGGCACUUAACAGGUUUAUCCUUGCUCCUAAGCAUGUAUGCAGUACAUCUGAGUUGAUAUGCUACUUGUAACCCUACAAUUAGCUUGUGUUUGGUAUUGUUUCCUCACAAUAUGCUUACAGUCAUGGUCCCGGCUUGAAAGGAUGUGGCGUCCGACUUAAACAUAGGAUUGUUGUAGCAAGUGUCCCCUUCAUCAUUUACCUUAGAGGGAUCUUUUUGCCAAAAUUUGGCAUUUCAGCAACCAGUUUUGUUUUUUAUUUGGUACAUGCUUCUCUCAUUCAGUGAUUUAAGGGAAGUAUUGACCUUAUUCGCUUGUCUUUGCAUACAAAGGUGACAUGGAUCAAUGAUAUUUGUUGUGUUGAGAAUUCUGCGGGAAGCUGUGUCCCCAAAAGAAGUACCAGAAACCCCUUCCAGGAAGCUUGCAUUGAUCUGAACUGCCUUUCUGCCCCUGUUACAACAUGAAACCUCAUUUCUAAGCUUAUAAUGCUUUCCUACAUGUGUGUGUCUUGUUCAUUUUAACCUUUCCUUCCAUUCUAAACCCCAAAAAUGAGCAUUUUUGUCUUUGGCUCGGUUAUGAAGCGCCAUUUUGACCAGAUUGCCACCAUCAAAAUAGUCAAAAGUACUUAUUUUGUGCCCAAAAUAUGAAAUUUUGUAUUCUCUUCAACCUCUUAAUGAGAGCUGGCAGUGAAUAUUGACCAUCUUCUUCAGUUUAAAGGCACCCAUGACAUUAUAUGCUAGAAUAUAUAAUUGGCAGCUGGUAAACAAAUUGGCUCCGAGCAACAAGGCGCUUUCAAGAUUUUACACUUUUAUUGGUGCGAAACAACAAGUUAUUGGAAGCUUAUGGAUUUCUACACUUCAAAGUAUCUUUGAUCUUUCAUUUUCACCAAUUUGCUUAUUGUCUGUGAUGAAAUUGGAUUUUUUUUGCUUUGAAAUUGACAUUUUUGGGGUGAUUUAAAAAAAAAGAACAAAAAAGGCAUUAUCAAAAUUGCUUUGAGUGAAAAUAUCUAACAAAUUCAUUCUUUCCCCACCCCGCAUAAGCCCCACGUGCCUGUCCAUUUGGUUUGUUUUGGUAUUUUGUUGCAUAUAUUGAACACAACAACUUUAAAUCUUAAAGGGACAUUUAAGCUUUAACAGGCCUAAAAUUGCCUUCUUCGGACCGAAAACACCCGCGUGUGAAAAUAUUAUAUAAAAUGGCCAAAUGGACAGAUAAUCCAGCCAAACCUAAUAUUUUGCUGCAAUAUGCAUAGGAAGAUAAUAAUAUGCAAGAAAAACACAUUUUAAUCAGAAUAAAUUUCUCCUUUAGGUUACAAUAUACUAAAAUAUUUUGGAGUGCAAUGCUAUACUCUCUAAAAACAUGAACAUCAUUUAUAAGAAGACACAAUUCUCUGUAGGGGCACUUGCCAUGGCUUUAUUUUAGAAUGUUUCUUUGUGCAUGUGGUAGGGAAAACAUUGAUGUUUAACAGAAAUGCACUCUUUUGCUUGAAGGUUGGAGACUACAUGAGACUUUGACAGAUGGCGGGAAACCCUUCUCAACUGGUACGAAGCCGGCAAAUAGAUGGCCAUAAAACAGUGACCGCUGAUUCGCGUCGAGUUCUUUCUUGCAUAACGUAUGACCCCCCUUUUUUAUUGUUUAAAUCAUUGCGGCUUGGAAUGCUCUUUAAGAAAAGGUAUGGUUAUGGGGAUGUCUAUGCGCAAAAGUUUGACUUUAUUUUUUGUUAAAGUUAUUGCUUUCACAUUGAAUUUGUGUAGGAAAUCUUUUAGUAUAUUGUGACCUAAACUAACUUUAGGUAAAAAUGAAAUAUCAUCUGCAAGUGCAAAAUAUGACUGUGAAAGCUGAUUUUUGGUCAUUUCUUAGCAAAAGAGAAGAAUAUAAGUGCAUUAAAUGCAUGAAUUCAGAUUAUUUGACCUGGAAUAGUUGUUUUUCAAGUUGACCCCCCACCCUUAUAUAGCUGAAUAAGGGCUAAAUUGCUUUCCGACUUAAAUUCAAAGGCAUUUUGGUUGACCGUGUAGCGUUAAUGUGCAACAUGAAGUCAGAAUUCAACGCCAGGGACUCCGUGAUCCAGUAACGCAACAAUAGCUUGUGCGUAAAGCAUGAACAUUCAAACAGAGCCCCAUUUCACCGACAUGAAAUGGCGGACAUUUUUACAGUUUGGACAGUGCAGCAGACGCUUAACUGAGCCAGCUUUCAUAUUUAGUUCAAUCAUGAACAUAACAAGCUUUAUCACUUGCUAUGAUUCAUAGAAAUACACAUAAAAUACAUAAAUGCAUUUUCUUUUUUCAUUUUAUACCUAUUU